UGGGGAAUAUUGGGCAAUGGGCGAAAGCCUGACCCAGCAACGCCGCGUGAGGGAAGAAGGGUUUUCGGCUCGUAAACCUCUGUCCUAUGGGACGAAGGAAGUGACGGUACCAUAGGAGGAAGCCCCGGCUAACUACGUGCCAGCAGCCGCGGUAAUACGUAGGGGGCGAGCGUUGUCCGGAAUGAUUGGGCGUAAAGGGCGCGUAGGCGGCCUGUUAAGUCUGGAGUGAAAGUCCUGCUUUCAAGGUGGGAAUUGCUUUGGAUACUGAUGGGCUGGAGUGCAGGAGAGGAAAGCGGAAUUACCGGUGUAGCGGUGAAAUGCGUAGAGAUCGGUAGGAA
rnacentral:rRNA from 1 species